rnacentral:lncRNA from 11 species
UAAAAAGAAAGGGCAGGGAUGUGUGCUUAUCAAAGCAGGGUUAAGUGGAGUAUCUUCCAAUAUGUUGUUGGUGGGGAACAUGUUUUUGGACAGCACCUCCUGAUGACUACAUGUAGCCAUGAGAAAAAAUGCCCCGAAGGCUUCUUCUGUGACUACCAUUUUGGGCUCUGCUUCAACCUCAGGGAUGAAGGCGACUUCUGCCGCCAGGAUGCCCAUUGUGCUGAGGGACUCAUCUGCAUGUUUGGCAAAUGCCAAGAGAGGGUUCCUGAAGGCCAGGAAGGUAAGAUAUGGGAUACAGAGAAGGCUCUGA